UACGUAGGGGGCAAGCGUUGUCCGGAAUCAUUGGGCGUAAAGCGCGUGUAGGCGGCCCGAUAAGUCCGCUGUGAAAGUCGGGGGCUCAACCCUCGGAUGCCGGUGGAUACUGUCGGGCUCGAGUGCGGAAGAGGCGAGUGGAAUUCCUGGUGUAGCGGUGAAAUGCGCAGAUAUCGGGAGGAACACCAAUUGCGAAGGCAGCUCGCUGGGACGUUACUGACGCUGAGACGCGAAAGCGUGGGGAGCAAACAGGG
rnacentral:rRNA from 1 species